UGGGGAAACUUGCACAAUGGGCGCAAGCCUGAUGCAGCCAUGCCGCGUGUAUGAAGAAGGCCUUCGGGUUGUAAAGUACUUUCAGCGGGGAGGAAGGGAGUAAAGUUAAUACCUUUGCUCAUUGACGUUACCCGCAGAAGAAGCACCGGCUAACUCCGUGCCAGCAGCCGCGGUAAUACGGAGGGUGCAAGCGUUAAUCGGAAUUACAGGGCGUAAAGCGCACGCAGGCGGUUUGUUAAGUCAGAUGUGAAAUCCCCGGGCUCAACCUGGGAACUGCAUCUGAUACUGGCAAGCUUGAGUCUCGUAGAGGGGGGUAGAAUUCCAGGUGUAGCGGUGAAAUGCGUAGAGAUCUGGAGGAAUACCGGUGGCGAAGGCGGCCCCCUGGACGAAGACUGACGCUCAGGUGCGAAAGCGUGGGGAGCAAACAGG
rnacentral:rRNA from 1 species